UCUCUGUCUCAGUCCCCCUCCGUCUACCUGUUACUCUCUCUCUCUCUCUCUCUCUCUCUCUCUCUCUCUCUCUCUCUCUCUCUCUCUCUCUCUCUCUCACACACAAACACACACGUGUCCAGUGACCUCCUCAGUGCUGGGCCUGUGUAGAUAUUUUUGGGCAGUGUGGGAAAGAGUCUGUCUAGUAGACUGCAUAAUGACUCAACAAAGAGGCAAACAGAAAAAACAACUACGUGUUUAGAGAGUUGGCAAUGGCAUUAAUGAGUUCCAGGGUGAAAUGUCCUCUAGAUACAGAUCUAGGAUCAUCUUCCUCUCCUCCAAUCCACAACCUUAACCAACCAUGUAUCUAGGAGAAAACUUCAAUCCUGUCUCAGAGCUCUAUUCUAAUUGUCCGUAGAGCUCUGAGACAGGAUUGUGUCGAGGCACAGAUCUGGGGGAAGGGUACCAAAAAAAUGUCUGCAGCAUUGAAGGUCCCCAAGAACACAGUGGUCUCCAUCAGUCUUAAAUGGAGAAGUUUGGAACCACCAAGACUCUUCCUAGAGCUUGUCGACCGGCAAAACUGAGCAGGGAGGUGACCAAGAACCCGAUGGUCACUUUGACAGAGCUCCAGAGUUCCUCUGUGGAGAUGGGAGAACCUUCCAGAAGGACAACCAUCUCUGCAGCACUCUACCAAUCAGGCCUUUAGAGGGGCCAGACGGAAGCCACUCCUCAGUAAAAGGCACAUGACAGCCCGCUUGGAGUUUGCCAAAAGGCAUCUAAAAGACUCUCAGACCAUGAUGGUCUGAUGAAACCAAUAUUGAACUCUUUGGCCUGAAUGCCAAGAGUCACGCCUGGAGGAAAUCUGGCACCACUGGAGUAAAGUACAGAGAGAUCCUUGAUGAAAACCUGCUCCAGAGCGCUCAGGACCUCAGACUGGGGUGAUGGUUCACCUUCCAACAGGACAACGACCCUAAGAACACAGCCAAGACAAUGCAGGAGUGGCUUCGGGACAAGUCUCUGAAUGUCCUUGAGUGGCCCAGCCAGAGCCCGGACUUGAACCCAAUUGAACAUCUCUGAAGAGACCUGAAAAUAGCUGUGCAGUGACGUUCCUCAUCCAACCUGACAGAGCUUGAGAGGAUCUGCAGAGAAGUCAGAAACUCCCCAAAUACAGGUGUGCCAAGCUUGUAGCGUCAUACCCAAGAAGACUCUAGGCUGUAAUCACUGCCAAAGGUGCUUCAACAAAGUACUGAGUAAAGGGUCUGAAUACUUAUGUAAAUGUGAUAUCUUUUAAAAAAGUUUUAAUUUUUUUUUUAAAUAUGCAACAUUUUCUAAAAACCUGUUUUUGCUUUGUCAUUAUGGGGUAUUGUGAUGUCAUUAUGGGGUAUUGUGAUGUCAUUAUGGGGUAUUGUGAUGUCAUUAUGGGGUGCUGUGUGUAGAACAAAUGAGGGAAAAAACGAUUUAACCCAUGUUAUAUAUAAUAAGGCUGUAACGUAACAAAAUGUGGAAAAAGUGAAGGGGUCUGAAUACUUUUCGAAUGCACUGUAUCUCCAUAGCUCCUACCAACACCCCAAAUAACUAACACCCCAAUGUAUCUCCAUAGGUCUACCAACACCCCAAUAUAUCUCCAUAGGCCGACCAACACCCCAAUAUAUCUCCAUAGGCCGACCAACACCCCAAUAUAUCUCCAUAGGCCGACCAACACCCCAAUAUAUCUCCAUAGGCCGACCAACACCCCAAUAUAUCUCCACAGGCCGACCAACACCCCAAAUAACCAACACCCCAAUGUAUCUCCAUAGGUCUACCAACACCCCAAUAUAUCUCCAUAGGUCUACCAACACCCCAAUAUAUCUCCAUAGGCCGACCAACACCCCAAUAUAUCUCCAUAGCUCCUACCAACACCCCAAAUAACUAACACCCCAAUGUAUCUCCAUAGGUCUACCAACACCCCAAUAUAUCUCCAUAGGCCGACCAACACCCCAAUAUAUCUCCAUAGAUCUACCAACACCCCAAUAUAUCUCCAUAGGUCUACCAACACCCCAAUAUAUCUCCAUAGGUCUACCAACACCCCAAUAUAUCUCCAUAGGUCUACCAACACCCCAAAUAACUAACACCCCAAUAUAUCUCCAUAGGUCUACCAACACCCCCAAUAACUAACACCCCAAUAUAUCUCCAUAGGUCUACCAACACCCCAAAUAACUAACACCCCAAUAUAUCUCCAUAGGUCUACCAACACCCCAAUAUAUCUCCAUAGGUCUACCAACACCCCAAUAUAUCUCCAUAGCUCCUACCAACACCCCAAAUAACUAACACCCCAAUGUAUCUCCAUAGAUCUACCAACACCCCAAUAUAUCUCCAUAGAUCUACCAACACCCCAAUAUAUCUCCAUAGAUCUACCAACACCCCAAUAUAUCUCCAUAGAUCUACCAACACCCCAAUAUAUCUCCAUAGAUCUACCAACACCCCAAUAUAUCUCCAUAGAUCUACCAACACCCCAAUAUAUCUCCAUAGAUCUACCAACACCCCAAUAUAUCUCCAUAGAUCUACCAACACCCCAAUAUAUCUCCAUAGAUCUACCAACACCCCAAUAUAUCUCCAUAGGUCUACCAACACCCCAAUAUAUCUCCAUAGCUCCUACCCACACCCCAAAUAACUAACACCCCAAUAUAUCUCCAUAGGUCUACCAACACCCCAAUAUAUCUCCAUAGGUCUACCAACACCCCAAUAUAUCUCCAUAGGUCUACCAACACCCCAAUAUAUCUCCAUAGCUCCUACCAACACCCCAAUAUAUCUCCAUAGGUCUACCAACACCCCAAUAUAUCUCCAUAGCUCCUACCAACACCCCAAAUAACUAACACCCCAAUAUAUCUCCAUAGGUCUACCAACACCCCAAUAUAUCUCCAUAGCUCCUACCAACACCCCAAUAUAUCUCCAUAGGUCUACCAACACCCCAAUAUAUCUCCAUAGCUCCUACCAACACCCCAAAUAACUAACACCCCAAUAUAUCUCCAUAGGUCUACCAACACCCCAAUAUAUCUCCAUAGCUCCUACCAACACCCCAAAUAACUAACACCCCAAUAUAUCUCCAUAGGUCUACCAACACCCCAAUAUAUCUCCAUAGGUCUACCAACACCCCAAUAUAUCUCCAUAGGCCGACCAACACCCCAAUAUAUCUCCAUAGGUCUACCAACACCCCAAUAUAUCUCCAUAGGUCUACCAACACCCCAAUAUAUCUCCAUAGGUCUACCAACACCCCAAUAUAUCUCCAUAGGUCUACCAACACCCCAAAUAACUAACACCCCAAUAUAUCUCCAUAGGUCUACCAACACCCCAAAUAACUAACACCCCAAUAUAUCUCCAUAGGUCUACCAACACCCCAAAUAACUAACACCCCAAUAUAUCUCCAUAGGUCUACCAACACCCCAAUAUAUCUCCAUAGCUCCUACCAACACCCCAAAUAACUAACACCCCAAUGUAUCUCCAUAGAUCUACCAACACCCCAAUAUAUCUCCAUAGAUCUACCAACACCCCAAUAUAUCUCCAUAGAUCUACCAACACCCCAAUAUAUCUCCAUAGAUCUACCAACACCCCAAUAUAUCUCCAUAGAUCUACCAACACCCCAAUAUAUCUCCAUAGGUCUACCAACACCCCAAUAUAUCUCCAUAGCUCCUACCCACACCCCAAAUAACUAACACCCCAAUAUAUCUCCAUAGGUCUACCAACACCCCAAUAUAUCUCCAUAGGUCUACCAACACCCCAAUAUAUCUCCAUAGGUCUACCAACACCCCAAUAUAUCUCCAUAGGUCUACCAACACCCCAAUAUAUCUCCAUAGCUCCUACCAACACCCCAAAUAACUAACACCCCAAUAUAUCUCCAUAGGUCUACCAACACCCCAAAUAACUAACACCCCAAUAUAUCUCCAUAGCCCCUACCAACACCCGCAAUAACUAACACCCCAAUAUAUCUCCA